AUGGAGUACUGCCAUUCAUGUACUACAGUAAAGCCCAAUAGAGCUCUUAUAGAAGGCUUAUGGAAAUCUGAUGGAGGUCUUACAGAAGUCUUAUGGAAGUCUUAUGGAAGUCUUAUGGACUUAUGGAGGUCUUAUGGAAGUCUUAUGGAGGUCUUAUGGAGGUCUUAUGGCAGUCUUAUGGAAGGCAUAUGGAGGUCUUAUGGCAGUCUUAUGGAGGUCUUAUGGAGGUCUUAUGGAGGUCUUAUGGAAGGCAUAUGGCAGUCUUAUGGAAGGCAUAUGGAGGUCUUAUGGAAGUCUUAUGGCGGUUUUAUGGAAGUCUUAUGGAGGUCUUAUGGCAGUCUUACGGAAGGCUUAUGGAAGUCUUAUGGAGGUGUUAUGGCAGUCUAUGGAGGUCUUAUGGCAGUCUUAUGGAGGUCUUAUGGAGGUCUUAUGCCAGUCUUAUGGAAGGCAUAUGGAGGUCUUAUGGAGGUCUUAUGGAGGUCUUAUGGCGGUCUUAUGGCAGUCUUAUGGAAGGCAUAUGGAGGUCUUAUGGCAGUCUUAUGGCAGUCUUAUGGCAGUCUUAUGGAAGGCAUAUGGAGGUCUUAUGGCAGUCUUAUGGCAGUCUUAUGGCAGUCUUAUGGAAGGCUUAUGGAGGUCUUAUGGCAGUCUUAUGGAAGGCAUAUGGAGGUCUUAUGGAAGUCUUAUGGAGGUCUUAUGGCAGUCUUAUGGCAGUCUUAUGGAAGGCAUAUGGAGGUCUUCUGGAGGUCUUAUGGCAGUCUUAUGGCAGUCUUAUGGAGGUCUUUUGGCAGUCUUAUGGAGUAAUGAGUCUGAAUUUAAGAUAUUUCAUUCACAAAUAUCUUGCAGAAUUUUGUGGACAUUUCCCAACAUUAAAUGUACCUAUAAAUGUAUGAAACCCGUCGCUGAUUAUUUUCCCGCUAUAUCAGCACGACACUGUCGUGUUUUAUUCCUUACUUGGAAUACCAAUGUCUUCCUGCCUAUUCAUAAACCUGAAGCACGUGGUGCUAUUUAUGAACUACGAUAACUAUUUUAAGAUUUCUAUUUCAUUGGACAAAUGAAAUGUUUACGCAGUCAGUUUUCUCGAGUCUGGGUUCGGUUCCUGUCAGAACACUCCCAAAAAUUCCGACUCGGGCUUCACUGCCUGAGGUCGAAACGUGAAGGUUUUCUUCCCCCCUCAAUCAGAAGGUGGGAAUUGCGAUUAUUCCCGUAUGACGUGAACGCAGCAUUAGCAUAACUGAAAGCUGUGUGGUCCCGUGAGAACGCGGUGUCGCUUGGGAUGAGACGCGGUUGAAAGGGGCCCUGCUUUUUUUGGUCCGGGGUUAUUAAGGGACUCUGGGAUAGUCGCUUCAAUGAUUCCCCCUGCAGGGAGACUGAAAAGAAUUGAACCAAGCCGUUCGAUCGUAG
ensembl:lncRNA